CGAAAUUCAGCCACAAGCUAAUCCCAUCAGACCCCUCCUAGGACUAAGAUGCCUGCGUCCCUGGGGACUCCGUGAACAUGAAUUAUGGGGAUACGUGGAACCUCUGAUUUACAACCACUGGAGCUCGUAUAUCAUGAAGAUGCUCUUGGCCGGGCAGUGCCCUCUGAAAAUCAGUGAAGAAAGAAAUGAGAGAUGCUUAGGGAGGCAACAUAUAUUAGGCACCUACUGUAUGCCGGCUGCUAAUCACCUCCGGAGGUACUUAAUUAAUGCAUGCUCGUUGAAUGAAUGACUUUCAGGGAUGAGAAAACAUGGGCCCUUGGCAACGUUUGCUGUUUCCCUUAAUCCCUACGACUCAGAGAGUUGGACGUUUUUAUUCCCGUUGCACAGAGAAGGAAACUGAGGCUUGGGGAGUGUCUUGGGUUUGCUCAGAUUCUCGUAUAUUAGGGAAACAGUGAAGCGAAGCUUUGCCCCUAAGUCUGGUACCUAAGAGGAUUUCAUGGCGCUCAAACCGUGACAGAGAGGGCAAUGCCCCGACAAGGCGAUUUACAAAUGACUCAGUGUUCUUGCGAGUGUUUGUGUCCUUAGGACUGAGCUUUCGUUUCCUCCUCUCUAAGAUGGGAUUCUAAGAGUAUUCUCCUCGUGGGCUUGUUGUAAAAAUUAAGAGUUAAGUCAGUUGAGACUCGCGGUACGGUCCCUGCGACCCUGCAAGCCUUGAUAAGCCACUGGAUUACAGUGAACAGAAAUGGAUAUGAUUUGGGUAGGAAGAGAGAGCUCUUCAUCUGAGCACCGCAAACUCUAUUUCCACCUGAGUUACUUCUGCGCCACCCUGGGUGAAGUUGACUUACCUACAGCCAGUUCUUCCUGAAGCUAGCUCGGUGACCUUGUCACAUCGAUGCCUUGCUGUGUUAUCUCACGUCAAAUAAUAACUCACAGCUUUAUCUGGGCAUGGAUACAGCUGUCCUCAGCCCAUCUGCCUCCGAGAGAGCCUGUCACUGAGAGAAUAGAUCCAGAAGUGGGUAAAAGUGCUUGAGGAAUACAAAACACAUUCCCGAUCGUAAAUGUCCCAAGAAAAUAAAUGUCAUUGUAAGAGACAAAGCAUGAGGACUGGUCUUGUACCUUUCACCUCGGCUGCUGCCCCAAAGGCCGCCUGCUGCCCCCAGGGCUCCCACCCCAAGCCACUGCAGAAAACAGGCUUUUAAAAACCUUCUAAAAUCUAAAAAUCCAGUCAUCUUCUCCCAAACGGCACACAGACUACAGAGCCAGAACGCCUGGGUUCAAACUCCACAGCUGCCACAUUCGACAGGAAUUGCCUUGGGCAAGUUAUUCUGCACCUCAGGCCCCAAAUCAAGCUUAUCCCUUCUGGAAUCCUUCAUCUGCUCUUCUCUCUUUUCAAAGUCUUCCUCUCAUUUCCAGUCCAGAGGCUCCUGGACAUGGCCUUGUUUUCCUGGAUGCCUCAGAAAUUACUGUUGACAUCUGCAAAACGUUAGCGUACCCUAGUUCAGAGGUCAGCAACCUCUGGCCCAAUCCAGGCUCCACCUGUUUUUGUAAAUAAAGUUUUAUUGAAACAGCCACUCCCCAUCAUUUACAUAUUCCCUGGGGCUGCUUUCCCACUAAAGUUGCAGAGGUGAACCAUUGUGACAGAGACCCUAUGAUCCUCAAAGCCUGAAAUAUUUACUCUCUAGAUGGCCCUUUACUGGAAAAGCUUGCCAAUCCCUGCCCUAGUUCAGUGUCUCUAAAACUCAUUUCGGGUGUUGAAAAUCUAAUGUCAUGAUCAUUUCUGUUGAAACAUAUAAAUGUCGCCACAUCCAACAGAAAUUCAUUAAGUAUAGAUGAUGCGCUAAAUCAGAUAUCAUUUAUAGUGCAGGACUUUAAAAGCUGCAGUUUGGGAUAGAAAAAUUUUAAAUUGGGAAAGAAAUAUACCCUGUUUGUCAACUCCUUCGGAGAGUGGAUUGGGCAAAACAUCUUAAAUCAAAUGUGUUGAAUACCUAGUAUGCCAGGCACCCCGAUAAGUCAUUUUACAGGUAUUAAGGCAUUUAACCGUCACGAUAGCCCUAGGAGGUUGCAAAUGUUAUUAUUUCUACAGGAGGUCAUAAAUUCUGGAAACGAAGGGGAAAUGUCCAUAAUGUCACCCAAGAAAUCUUCAGUUUAUUAAAAAAAAAAAGUACUCUGUGUCUUUAGACGUUAUGGAUGGGGCUGUGUUGUAUGGUUUAAAAAUUGAGGUGAGGGCUUCCCUGGUGGUGCAGUGGUUGAGAGUCCGCCUGCCGAUGCAGGGGACGCGGGUUCGUGCCCCGGUCCGGGAAGAUCCCACAUGCCGCGGAGCGGCUGGGCCCAUGAGCCAUGGCCGCUGAGCCUGCGCGUCCGGAGCCUGUGCUGCGCAACGGGAGAGGCCACAACAGUGAGAGGCCCGCGUACCGCAAAAAAAAAAAAAAAAAAAAAAAAAUUGAGGUGAAAUUGCGAAAGUGGUUGCCGAAAGUUGCACAGGAGAUUAAGCGAUGCAGUGAGGGGUCAGAUUGGCUGUCAGAAUCACGUUCUUGUAGCUUUAACCCUGUGGCUCCUUUGUGGCUCCUAGUUCAACAUCACAGAGUAUCCGCGUUCUGUAGGACCAGAGGAUCCUGGUUAGAUACCCACCCUGAAGAUUUGACUCCAUUUUGCCUGGACUGAAACUCCUUUUUUUAAAAUCACUUCACGUAUCUUGGGCGUCCCAACCAUGUUGGUUCUGCUCUUUCUGGUCUAAGCUCAUUGCCUUUGAUGGAUUAGACAAAAGCAAAUGAAGAGUUGACUCUUCCUGUCUCAUGUUCACUGUCAUCUUUUAACUUUGCACAUCAGCCUCCAGCAGGGUACUUCUAUCUUGCUCUGUUCUGACUCUUACCAGACCUCAAAUUGUGUGUGUGUGUGUGUGUGUGUGUCUGCGUGCACACAUGGCUUUCUAGCACCAGGGCUCUGGAGACAGCCUGUCUCUAUUCAAAUCCUGGUUCCCACUUGCGAGUGGUGGGGUCUGGGCCAGUUCCUUCCUCUCUCUCUGCUUCGUAUGCCUCCUCUGUAAAGGCAGGCUGGUGAUAGUAGCUGAGUCACACGGCUGUAGGGAGGCCUCAGAGAGACGGCGUCUGAAGGCUGCGAUUUGAGCAAGGAGCCUGCCAUGCCCGAAGCAUGUGAUCAUGCCAGUUGCAUUGGUGGUUGUUAUUCAGAGGUGAGUCCAGGCAUCUGUGUUCCCGAAGAUCACGUUGCUUGUUUUAUUCACUCUUGAGGGUAUGCACCUCUGGAGUGAGUUCACUAGUCCCCCACCACCACAGAAGAAAGAGAUACGUCCCCGGGAAGCUAUGAAUGUGACCUUAUUUGGAAAAAGAGUCUUUGCAGAUGUGAUUAAAUUAAUGUGAUCUUGAGAUGAGGUUCUCCUCGACUGAGGUGAGCCCUAAAUCUGACAAGUGUCCCUAGAAGGCUAGUUAAGGGGAGAAGACACGGAAGAGCAGGUGGUGUAAACGUGGAGACAGAAGCUGGACGGAUGUGUCUACAAACCAAGAAACACCAAAGAUUGCCAGCAACCGCCAGAACCUGGAAGAGGUAAAAGAGGUUCCGCCCUAGAGCCUCGAGAGGGAGCCUGGCCCUGCUGACCAUGCAGAUUUGGGACUUCUGGCCUCCAGGACUGCGGGAGAAUACAUUUCUGUUGUUUAAAGCCACUAGCUAGUGGUAAUUUGUCAUAGCAGCCACAGGAAACCAACACGUCUCCCUCCAUCUUCCCUAAUCACCUUUCACGUGCGCGCACCAGGUUGCCCUCUGUGCGUCCCCCACCCCGCCCCCAUUUCUCCGGAUGUGGCUGGGUGCCCUACACAGAGCUUUGAUUCUGUUCUCUGCUGUGUUUCUGGUCCAGUUACUUUGCCUUCCUGAGCCUCCGUUUCCUAAUUCAUAGCAUGAAUAAUAAUGCUUGCUCAUAGGCCAUUAUAAUAAUAAUGAUGAUGUGAUGAGGAUAAUACUAACAACAGCAUCAGUGUCCGCCAUCUAUGGAGCUCUGGCAGUGGCCAGGCACUCGUCAAAGUGCAUCAUUUCAUUUCGUCCUCGCAGUCGCCCUGUGAGCGGGCGCUGCUACGGCCCAUGUUCUAGAGAUGAGGAAACGGAAGCAGAGAGAGUUCAGAGUCACUUGUCCAAAGUCAUGUGAAUGGAUAAUCCGUGUAUUCAUGGUUUGGGCACAUCCUUACUGAGGAUAAAACUCUGCUGUAAGCACAGAGGACAAGAGGUGAAGAAAUCAAUAUCCCUCCCUCAGUAGAGCUUAUGUUCUAAUUGGGGAGACAUAAAUUUUGGAAAGUUCUGAGCAUUCUACCGGCCUAUAGUAAUCUUUCUAUAAAUAUGUCUGCCCACUGCUCUCUGACCCCACUGUGGAAAAUAGAGAGAAAUUGAGUAGCUUCAAGUUCACGGUCAGUUUCUCCCAAGGCCAUGUCAUUUCUAACUUAACCAAUGGUUCCUUCUCCUGGGCCGGCAGCCCCCCCCACCCCCACCCCCCGUUACUUCCUUAACCUUCUGGGAAACCCACUUGUCAGCAUUGGAGCUGGUGAUGCUCUCAGAUGUCUUGGCGAGGGAGACAGUGAAUCUCCAAGAAGUGGCGCAGGCCACGGGGAAGCCCCCCAAGGGCUCACACUCCACGUCGGGGCCAACCACCCAACGCAGAGGACAGUGCCCUCACCCAGGUGCCCCCUUGGCACGCCGUGCCCGCUGGAGCACGUGUAUUUCCAAGGUCGGGCGGCUUCUUUUUCUCCCUUCUUUAAUCUGUACUCACGUUGUCUCUGUGGGUUUUGCAACCUCAAGUUUAUUCCUUUCCCUUCCUUGUAUUAAUUUUUUUAAUUCGUUUUUAAUUGCAUAAGAGAUACAUUUUUGUGUAGAAAACAGCACAGAGAUCUAGUUUUUUUUAAAAAAACACAUAAUUCCAGACACAGAUAACAAAUUUACGGUUACCAAAAGGGAAAGGGAGGGAGGGAUAAAUGAGGAGUUGGGGAUUAAAAUAUACACACUACUAUGCCUAAAAUAGAGGAGCAGCGAGGACCUACUCUAUGGCACAGGGAACUAUACUCAAUAUCUUGUAAUAACCUAUAAUGGAAAAGAACAUUAAAAAUACAUAUAUAUUUAUUUUAUAUAGAUAUAUUUUUAAAAGAUCGUCAAUGGAUAGAUUGUAGGGAAUAUAAGAAUAAAGGAGAGAGCUGCUCCUUUUCUGCUAAAAUAUUUAUCAAUCAAAGGAGACCCUGGGUCUCCCGAUAUGGAAUGAAUGUCAUGUUAGGGAUGGGUGUCCUUUGCUUAUAUGCAUAAAAGUGUUACUGAGUGUUUUUAAGGAGGGUCUGACGCAUCUGGCCACUUUGAAGGUCCCCAGGGGACCGCCACUGAAGUCAAAACUAGAACUCCUUGGUGGUGGUGAGAUUAAAUUCCUCCUCCCCUCUGCUCGCCUCUCACCCCACGGUGUGCACACCCUCAGCCAUGACCUUGAACUUGGCUGGAUCAAUUUUUUGACCUUAGCCCCAUGCAAUCUGACAUUUGUUUGUACGAUUCUUUGCCUGUCUCCUCCAGAAAACAGGAAGGUCCCUUCCUGCUCAUCCUGUUAUUGCUGGCACGUAGCACAAUGCCCGGCUCAUAGGAGACACUUAAUAUAUUUUUGUUCGCUUUCUUUUUAUCUUCUGCGAGAAUUCCCGGGCGCCUCUCUCUUACCUUUCUCUGCAGCAAAACUAUUGUUCUCGUUGGAUCACGGGCAUGAUCCAGAAAAAUUAAUUGUUGUCCUUGACCUAAUCUACAGAGUCACCCAUUCAUUAGUCCCCUCGUCCCUGGGGACCUUCAAAGUGGCCAGUUCUGCUGGCGCCUCCUGAGAAACCCUCAGUAACACCUUUAUGCAUAAAAACAAAGGACCCCCAUCCCUAACAUGACAUUCAUUCCGUAUCAAGAGACCCAGUAUCUCCUUUAGUUGAUAUUUUAGCAGAAAAGAAACAGCUCUCUCCUUUAUUCUUAUUUCCCUAUUAUCUGUCUGCUGAUGAUCUUUUAAAAAAUAUAAAUCAGACCUUAGCAAAACCCUUUCACUGGCUUCCACUGAACCUGAAUUAAAGCCUCAGUUGUCUCAGGGCCGCGUCCUGCACCUGGCUUCUGCCUGCCCUUCACCUUCACUCGUACCUCUCUUCCUCUAAACCUAGACACUAGGCUUCCUUCUGUCUGCCACACAGUCCAUGCCUGGUUGGUCUCGUGCCUUUGCACAAAACCACGGGUGUCACCCUUGGGUAUACCUUAGAAUCUCCUGGCAGUUGUGUAUUUUUAAUAUCUUCUCAGUAUAUUCAAGCCUCAGCUGAAAUUCUGUCCCUGCAGAGAACCCAUCUCCCAUCAUCCUGGUGAAACACGGUCCACGACACGCUCAUCCCCGCUGCGUCCCAUCCUCCAGCUGAAAUUGAGUGACUUCUGUGGUUACUUCCACGGUCAUUGUUUCUGUCCCUCACUGGAAUCUAAACUCCAGGAAGGCAGAGAGGUCUCCUGAUGCUUUCUCUCUCUCUACCCAGCGUGCUCCAAAGGGCCCCAGCACGUCAUCGUCGCUCGGGGAUUAUUUAUUGGCGGAACGACUAUGUGAAUGCAUAAAUUAAUGGAUAAAUAGGUGAAUUAAUAUUUUUUCAGUAAUAAAAUGUGACAUGAAUCCCACCUAUUUGUUUUAAAAUGCACUCUUGUGGCCUCAGACCCCUUCCACUUCUCCCAUAUCUGCUAGAGCCAUAAUUUUCUAUUUUAUAUGUGUACCUGAGCAUUUUCUCAAGCAGUUGGACUUGGCCAAGGGGGCUGAAGGUCAGUGUUAAUUUAAUACACUAGCUAACAUCCCUCUUUCAACCUUCUGCUUUAUAAGGAAGCACUGUAGGCACAGUUUUACAAAUUGUCUGAGCCAUUGAUCCAUAGAACUUCUAAUGUUUACUUCAAUUAGGAAGAGUUUCAGAGAAAGAGCAAAUUAAUUACCUCCCCCCCCCCAAAUUUCAACUUAAUUAGCCAUUGUUUCUUUCUCCAUGGCUUAGUAAUUGGCUAGGUUUCAACCUGGACCUAGAAGAAUUAGAGGGGGAGCCCCCCCUAAAGUAGGCGUCCACACCUAACGCAGCCCCUGGUUCUCUGCUUGGACUUUCAGAGUGUGUAGGACACUUAGGGGAAAAUGAGCUGCUGAAAGAAGGAUGAAUCCGUGGGAGUGAAAGUCUGUGGCUCGUUGCAUUAGUGCAUUCCAGUUUUCCUUGCUGAAACAAACAGUUGCACGGGAAGUGCUAUUUGAUUUUAUUUUUGCCCCUUAAAUUUUUUCCUUGUGAGUUUCACUGAUGUUUGUCCCGAUGGGAGACCACCUGUGUUAAUUGCUAGUCUGGCCGUGGAGGUUUGGGCAAGUCAGGUUCAGUUAUAGCUCUUCUCUUCCAUAUCAUAGCCUUGGACUCAAUAAAAUAGGGGAGGCUUCCAACAGAGGCUGUUUUCAGUGUCCUAAAAGGCCCUUUGCCCUGUGUUUUGUUUAGCCUUAAAAGUAUUUUAUAGCACCAUCUCCCCGUACUUAGGGAACAGGUACAAAAACCGUCAAGUGAUAGAAUUGGUCACACAGACGAUUUUAAAAGGAGUCAUGAAAUGGAUGUAUCCAACAAAAAAAUGUAAUGUUUAAUGUGUUCCUACUGAGAGUAAGGGAUGUUACGCCAGGGGCUGUUGGCAGUAAAUCAUCCCAUGAUUUAGAUCACACCCCUGUGACGGGGUUUCAGGAGUCUCCUUUCUGGUGGCCGCAGGUCUGGGCUGACGAAGUUAUCCUGUCCUGUACUAGGGCAGGUUUGGGGCUGCUAUCUGCAUCUUUGCAGCCUCGGGGAGUAAAAAGGAUGGGAAUGGCGGACGCUCUAGAAAUGGCUUGUGUACUAGGUAAGAGGGAUCACAUUCCGCUCAUCCGGGAAGCCCUCCCUGAUUAGCAUGAUUGUAGCCCUUCUCCAGUUUGGUCCUUACUCUUUAGCAUUGCACACGAUGGAGCUCUUCGUCAGAGCACGCCUGUCGUGGGUGCAACCUGGGAACAACUGUACGCAGGUGGGUCAUCACCUAAUGACUUAUCAUCUUUCUCCAUGGUCUGAGAGCCCCCAAAGACAGGGGCCAUAUCUAUCCAGCUCACCCCUGUAGCCUAUACAGGGUGACUUCUGGUACACUGUAAGUGCUCUAGACAUAUUUGGAGAAAGAAUAAAUGAAUGAAUGAAUUAUAGGACAUACUGCACUUAGGCCCUAAAAGAAGGCUGGCUACAUGACACUGCUGUGACACUCGCAUGUUCCAGAAUGUGCCAUUACACGAGGACAGAGAGUGCGUGAACGCUACUCCACAGAGUAUAAGUUCCCUCUAAGUGGAGCAGGUGAGCUAGAAAGUACAUUCGGCUUGGAACUGUCCUACAAAGACGAGUUCAGACAAUGUCACGUGUCCCGUGAGCUCCAAGUCAGUUGGAGCCCAGAGCUGUGUCAGCGGCCCAGGUGGGAGGAUGUGGGUCGUUGGUGGAUGAGAAAGGUGGAAACAAGUAUGUACCCCCAGCCCUGGGCUGGGCCUCUGGGACGUCAGGAAUUGGUGGGUUUUGCUCACAGCCCCUGUG